AACAGACACUUCAACAUCAACAUCAUCAUCAUCAUCAAUUCAUUCAUUCGUUCACUUGUGUUUAUUGAGCGCUUACUAUGUGUGCAGAGCACUGUGCUUGGGAGAGUACAAUAUAACUAUAAACAGACGCAUUCCCUGCUCACAGCGAACUUACAAUUUGGGGGGUAGGGAGGAUUUAUUGCGUCCUUACUAUGUGCAGAUCACUCUAGUAAGGACUUGGGAAAGUAAAGGAGAGUCAGUGGACACUAUCCCUGCCCUCAAGGACAUUACAGUCUACUUUGUCCUGAGCGCUCUACUUAAUACUCGGAAGAGUACAAGGGAGUUAUUGGACAUGAUCCCUGCUGUCAAAAAGCUUCCAAUCUAGUGAGCCUCCUGGGUUGGGGUAUAAGAGGUUUUUGCUUAGGAUGGGAUGGACUUUACUCUUGAAACUCCAUGUUGUGUGUAUACCACUUUUUUUUUUAAAUAGUAUUUGUCAAGUGCUCACUCUGUGUGUCAGGUCCUGUACAAAUGUCGGCUGAGGGGCAACAGCUACAAUCACAGUCCCAUCAAGAAUCGGCUGAAGGAACCACGAAGGAGCUUGUAUUUGCUGAGAGAUCCGAGGAAUCGGGGACUCUUUCAGCACCUAUUGGAUUUCUCUUUGAAGUUUCAACUGUCCACUAGCAUAAUCAGGAUUCUGGAUUUUGUCAGUCAGCGAGAUGCCUGCUUUAUCUCUGGAGGGACUAGAAAGGCUUUUGCUCUGAAGUCCCGGGCCGGCUAGUGGCGCUCGAUCUCAGAAAGCUGAGGAGUCCAGAAAGGAAGGCCCCCCCGCCCCUCCCACCUGAUGGGUGACGGGUGCGGGAAUGGAAACUAAGCUCUUCGAAGAGAGGCCGCGCCCCGCCGAGAGCGGGGGGACAUCGAGGGAGACAAAGCCCGAAGGAGCAGAUGCCAGAUUUCGCGGGCCCGCCUCUCAGCCUGCCACUGACUCCCAUCCGGGGACCUGUUCAGCUGGGAAUAGCGAGACCCCCUCGGUGCUGGUCAGAGGGUCGGGAAACAGUAGUCCCCUCGGUGGGGCGUCCCCCCGCUCCCUUUCGGUCAGAGCUGUGGAUUCUCUCCACCUUUCCCCUUGGGAGAGAAACCUCGCCACGCUUCUUCCAAGCGAACGCCCCAGGGAGACCCCAGAAAGGGGCCCUCAGACCCACAUCAUCCGACAAGAACCCAGCACAAUCGUUUUUGCCAACUACGAGUUUUUAUCCCCUGCCGUCGAUUCUGUGCUCCGCGGCCCAGAGGUCCCGGACGCCGAAGCCUCUUCAUAUGAGUCCGGGGAGGAGGAGGAGGGAGAAGAGGGUGACGAAGAUGUUUUCACCCAGCCAUCCCUUCGCGAGCCGUUUGUCCACGGCCUUCUCCCGAGCAUCAUUCCCGCAGACCAGCCAGAGGCAUGUGAAUUCCCCGAGGAGGGGGAUGUUUGUCUUACACCGAGCCCCCCGGGGCGUUGGGAGAGAGAACCUAAUGAACGGGCGACGGGAGAGAAGCAGAUCCACAAAGCGAGCCCACCGAAGGAGGUCUCUGGAUUUUCAGACUCUAUGUCCGAUCUCAUGAAGAACCUGGAGCAACUGAAUCUAGAUCUUGAAGAAGCUCUCAAUCAUGGCUCUUCUCCUUCUCAGACUACUUCUUUCAAGAGGCGAGAGCAGCAGUCUUCUGUUAAACUGGAUGCCGGUGAGAAUAGAGAUCCUCAGAGGAAGGGAAUUGGUAGAAAUAAGUGGGGAAGCUUCCAGAAGCUAGAUGACUGGCCAAACCCAAUGUCAGCUGGAGCACGCCCCAAAAUUAAAGUAAGUAGCUACAUUUCAGAAUAUUCUGGCUACCAUUCCGAGCUCCAGGACAAGUAAUAUUCCUUGGCCUAGAAAAACCUUCAUUGGCAUUCUUUAUUAUUGUUGUGUUAAGAUAAAUGUAACAUCGGGACUGCUAGGAUUUCCCGGGCAUGUUAAGCACAAGAAGAAGCGUACGAGAACGGAGAUCGUAAACUCCUUGUGGC
rnacentral:lncRNA from 1 species